rnacentral:rRNA from 1 species
UACGUAGGGUGCAAGCGUUGUUCGGAAUCAUUGGGCGUAAAGCGCGUGUAGGCGGUUAUUUAAGUCGGGUGUGAAAUCCCUGGGCUCAACCCAGGAAGUGCAUUCGAAACUAACUAGCUAGAAGAUGGUAGAGGAAGGUGGAAUUCCUAGUGUAGAGGUGAAAUUCGUAGAUAUUAGGAGGAAUACCUGAGGCGAAGGCGGCCUUCUGGGCCAUUCUUGACGCUGAGACGCGAAAGCGUGGGUAGCAAACAGG